rnacentral:rRNA from 1 species
GAUGAACGCUGGCGGCGUGCCUAAUACAUGCAAGUCUAGCGAACAGACGAGGAGCUUGCUCCUCUGUCGUUAGCGGCGGACGGGUGAGUAACACGUGGAUAACCUACCUAUAAGACUGGGAUAACUUCGGGAAACCGGAGCUAAUACCUGAUAAUAUAUUGAACCGCAUGGUUCAAUAGUGAAUGACUGUUUUGCUGUCACUUAUAGAUGGAUCCUCGCCGCAUUAGCUAGUUUGUAAGGUAUCGGCUUACCAAGGCAACGAUGCGUAGCCGACCUGAGAGAGGGGUCGCACCCACAAGAAGUGGGAAAAAGUCAAGAAGCCUACGGGAGGCAGCAGUAGGGUACGUUCCGAAAUGGGCGAGAGCGUGACGGAGCAACGCCGCGUGAGUGAUGAAGAUGUUCGGAUCGUAAAACUGGGUUAGUAGGGAAGAACAAAUGUGGAAGUAACUAAGCAAGUCGUGAAGGUACCUAAUCAGAAAGCCACGGCUAACUACGUG